ensembl:lncRNA
GUGUUUACAGAAAAAUGAGCAGGAAAUACAGAGUUCCCCCACACCCUCUCAUCUCCCUCCCACUUCCAGUUUCCUCUAUUAUUGAAAUCUUGCAUUAGUGGUACAUUUAUUACAAUUGAUGAACCAUUACUAACACAUUAUUAACUAAAAUCAGAGUAGAUUCUUUGCGUUAUCCAUUCUAUGGGUCUGGGCAUAUGUAUAACAUGUAACCACCAUUACAGUAACAGGAUAGUUUCAGGGUAACAGGAUAGUUUCAAGGGCCUAAAAAUCCCAUGCUCCACAUGUUCAUUCCUCCUUCCACUUAAUCCACCUCUCCCAACUCCUGGCCAUCUGUUCUUUUUACUGUCUCCCUAGUUUUGCCUUUUCCAGACUGUCACAUGUUGGCAUUAUAUAGUAUGUAGCCUUUUCAGAUUGGCUUCUUUCACUGUUAUACUUUCAAGGGCCUUCCAUGACUUUUUGUGACUUGGUAAGUUUCAUUUUAUUGCCAAAUAACAAUCCAUUGUGUGGAUGUACCCGUGUGUUUAUCCGUUUACCUACUGAAGGACUUUGUGAAUAAAGCUGUUGUAAACAUUGGUGUGCUAGUUUUUGUGUGGACAUGUUUUCGACUCAUUGAAUUGCUGGACUGUUUGCUAAGGGUAUGUUUAGUUUUCUCAAUUGCCAACUGUCUUCCAACUUGGCUCUACCGUCUUGCAUUCCCACUAGCAGUGACAGUUCAUGUUGCUCCACAUCCAGCCAGCAUUUGGUGUCGUCAGUGUUUUGGAUUUUUGCCAUUGGAUUUAAUUAUUUUAACAACAGUAUUUCAUUGUUUUGCAAAUAUUUACUCCCCACUUGUGGCUUAUCUUUUCAUUCAACAUCUUUUGGAUAGCAGACAUUUUCAGUUUUAAUGAAGUCCAACUUUUUUUUCUUUUAUGGAUCAUGUGUUUAGCUAUGUAUCUAAAAAAGUCAUGGCUAAACUGAAGAUCACCUAAAUUUUCUAUGUAUCUUCUUUAUAGGUUUGUGUUUUACAUUUAGUUUAUUAUUCAUUUUGAGUUUAGUUUGUGAAAGGUGUAAGGUCUAUGUCCAGAUUCACUUUUUUUAAAUGUGGAUUCCCAGUUGUCCCGUUCCAACACCAUUUGUUGAAGACUAUCCUUUCUCCAUCGAAUUGCCUUGAUCCUUUGUCAAAGAUCAAUUGACUAUAUUUGUGGGGUCUAUUUCUGGUCUCUGUUUUCUGUCCAUUGACUAGCUGCUCAUUCCUUCACCAUUACCACAUCAUCUUGGUUACCGAAGCUUUAUAGUAAGUCAAGGGCUGGCUGUGUCAGUCAUGCCGCUAUGUUCUUCCCGAUGCUAUAUCAGCUAUUUGGGGUCUUCUGUCUUUACAAUUAAACUUUAGAAUAAACUUGUCAAUAUCCAUAAAAUAACUUUCUGCAGUUUUAAUUGAAAUUGUGUUGAAUCUACAAAGCAAGUAGGGAGGAACUGAUAUGUUGACAAUAUUGAGUCUUCUAUCCAUGUACAUGGAAUAUUUCCAUUUAUUUUUUAAAAAAUUGCUUUCACCAGUUUAUUAGUUGUCCUUGUAUACAUGUUGUGGAUGUUUUAAGAUUUAUACCUAAGGUUUUUUUUUUUUAUUGUUUUUGUUUGGUAUUGGGUUUUAAGUUUCAAAUUUAAAUUGUUCAUCACUGGCAUAUAAGAAAGCAAUUGACUUUGUCUAUUAACUUUGUAUACUGAAACUGCUAUAACUGUAACUGCUUAAUCCUGCUUCCGGGUUUUUUGUUUUGUUUUUGGUGAUUUUCUAUGUAGAUACGCAUGUCAUCUGAAAAUAUUUCUUCCUUCUCAAUCUAUAAUCAUUAUCCCUCCCCUGCUUUAUAUAUGUGAAAGAUGUCUUAAGAUGUGAAAAGCAGUGCUAAGAGGGGACAUCCUUGCCUUGUUCCUGAUCUUGGUGGAAAUGCAUUUAGUUUCUCACCAUUUAGUAUGAUAUUAGCUGUAGGUUUUUGUAGAUGUUACCAAGUUAAAGAAGGUCUGUUCCUAGUUUGCUGAGAGUUUUAAUCAUAAACGGGUGCUGGAUUUUGUCAAAUUCUUUUCCUACAUUUAUUGAUAAUAUAAUUUUUUCUUUCUUUUUUAGUCUGUUGAUAUGAUGGACUAUCUUAAUUGAUUUUUCAAUAUUGACCUAGCCUUGCACACCUGAAGUCCCACUUGUUCAUGGUAUAUAAUUCUUUUAAUACAUUGUUGGAUUUAAGUAUAAAAACGAGGUCAUGGCCAGCAGGUUAUUAUACAAAGUUCAUGAGCAAAUCCAAUCUACUAUCACAAUGCUAAGUAAAUAAACAUAAGUUUUAU